CCCAGGCGCCCCAUCCUCAUGCUUUUAAGAGAUUCCCCACGUACAACCUGAGUCCGUGGACUCCCACCAUGACGGAGGACUCAGAGGAAGGACCGGAUGAGAGCGUGGCAGGCCGGGCAGCCCCCGGGGCAAUGCAAGGCGACAGAGUGGGGACAGCCAAGCCCCUGGACCUUCUCCAGUCACAUCACACUCACCUUGACUGAAAAUACUUGAAGAUAAAGUGUUUAAUUAAUAGGAUGCAAAAGUUCUUUCUUUCAUUAAAGAUUGAAACUGCAAUGUU